ACCAACAUUCCAGCAAACAAUGGAUUUCAUGAAGCUUUUUGGAUCGGAGACGCUAUGUACAGAACAAGGUUUCUGCACCAAGUGUUCCAGCACAGAUUUGCGAUCGAAUUUUCAAUUUAAUUCAACAAAUGCAAUGAAAUUCAUGCUUUCUCAAAGAUCCUGGAAGACACCAAGAAGCCAGGUAUCAUAUUGGUGGUGCAAAACUCUUAGAGUAUGUCGAUGGAGCUGGAAUUCAUGCUGCUAUCCAUUCGUAUGACAAGAAAUUAAACAAAUGAGAACUGGAAGACCUUCAUUGUAUUGCAAACUUUAUUUUUUCACAAGCUGAUACUUCGGAUAUUGGAUGCCAACCAGAUGUAAGUUCCGCAAUCAAAGCUCAACCCAGAGUAUUGUUGUUGCUUGGUGCCGAUGCUGGUGUUGUUAAACGUGAUCAAUUGCUUAAUGC